rnacentral:rRNA from 1 species
CAUGCCGUAAACGUUGGGCACUAGGUGUGGGGGACAUUCCACGUUCUCCGCGCCGUAGCUAACGCAUUAAGUGCCCCGCCUGGGGAGUACGGCCGCAAGGCUAAAACUCAAAGGAAUUGACGGGGGCCCGCACAAGCGGCGGAGCAUGCUGAUUAAUUCGAUGCAACGCGAAGAACCUUACCAAGGCUUGACAUGCACCGGACGGUCGCAGAGAUGUGGCUUUCUUCGGACUGGUGCACAGGUGG